UACAGAGGUCUCAAGCGUUGUUCGGAUUCAUUGGGCGUAAAGGGCGCGUAGGCGGCGGGGUAAGUCGGGUGUGAAAUCUCAGAGCUCAACUCUGAAACUGCACUCGAUACUGCUCUGCUUGAGGACUGGAGAGGAGACUGGAAUUCACGGUGUAGCAGUGAAAUGCGUAGAUAUCGUGAGGAAGACCAGUGGCGAAGGCGGCUUGCCAGAACGCGCUCGACGGUGAGGGAUGAAAGCUGGGGGAGCAAACCGG
rnacentral:rRNA from 1 species